UACGUAGGGGGCAAGCGUUGUCCGGAAUUAUUGGGCGUAAAGCGCGUGUAGGCGGCCAGAUAAGUCCGCUGUGAAAUCUCGAGGCUCAACUUCGAGCUGUCGGUGGAAACUGUCUGGCUAGAGUCCGGAAGAGGAGAAUGGAAUUCCUGGUGUAGCGGUGAAAUGCGCAGAUAUCAGGAAGAACACCCGUGGCGAAGGCGGUUCUCUGGGACGGUACUGACGCUGAGGAGCGAAAGCGUGGGGAGCGAACAGG
rnacentral:rRNA from 1 species